GCCAGAAACAGCUCAAUUGGUAGAGCAUGAAACUCAAUCUCAGGGUUGUGGGUUCCAGCCCCAUGUUGGGCA